rnacentral:misc_RNA from 1 species
AACUAACGCUAUUCUAGAUACAGUUUCUGUACUAUAUUG